rnacentral:rRNA from 1 species
GACGAACGCUGGCGGCGUGCCUAAUACAUGCAAGUCGAGCGAACGGACCAUAAGCUUGCUUCUCUGAUGUUAGCGGCGGACGGGUGUGUAACACGUGUAUAACCCACCUAUAAGUCUGGUAUAAUUUCGGGAAAGCGGCGCUUAUACGGGAUAAUAUUUUGAACCGCAUGGUUCAAAAGUGAAAGACGGUCUUUCUGUCACGUAUAGAUGCAUCCGAGCUGCAUUAGCUAGUUGGUAGGGUAACGGCUUACCAAGGGGAGGAUGCAUAGCCGACCGGAGAGGGUGAUAGGCCACACUGGAGCUGAGACAGCGACCAGACGCCUGCGGGAGGCACCAGAAGGGAAUCGGACGCAACGGGCGAGAGCCUGACGGAGCGACGCCGCGUGAGUGAUGAAGGCGUUCGGAUCGGAAUACUCUGUUAUUGGGGAAGAACAGAUGUGUAAGUAACUGUGCAGAUCGUGACGGUACCUGAUCAAAAAGCCACGGCUAACUACGUG